CUUUAACAAUCCGGAACAAGCUGAAAAUUGAAACGACAUGUCGUCUCAUUUCUCCGUAAUAAGAAAUGAAUCACGAUAUGUUCGAGUCUCUCAAAUGCUUACAGCCGCAGUGGAAACACUUGUGG
rnacentral:sRNA from 1 species